rfam:Triticum urartu cultivar G1812 contig212375, whole genome shotgun sequence.
CAACUACUCCCUCUGUCCCAAAUUUCUUGUCUUAGAUUUGUCUAGAGACGGUUGUAUCUAAUACUAAAAUGUGACUUGAUACAUCCGUAUCUAGACAAAUCUAAGACAAGAAUUUUGGGACGGAGGGAGUACUUU